rnacentral:rRNA from 1 species
ACGGAGGGUGCGAGCGUUAUUCGGAAUUACUGGGCGUAAAGCGCGUGCAGGCGGGUGGGUAAGUCUGAUGUGAAAGCCCUGGGCUUAGCCCGGGAAGUGCAUUGGAAACUGUCCUGCUUGAGUACUGGAGAGGAGGGUGGAAUUCCCGGUGUAGAGGUGAAAUUCGUAGAGAUCGGGAGGAAUCCCGGUGGCGAAGGCGCCCUUCUGGACGGUUACUGACGCUGAGACGCGAAAGCGUGGGGAGCAAACAG